AGUGAAUAGAUACCCAGGUAGUCCACGCCCUAAACUAUGUCAACUAGGUGUUGGGUGGGUAAAACUAUUUAGUACCGUAGCUAAACGCGUGAAAGUUGACCGCCUGGGGAGUACGGCCGCAAGGUUAAAACUCAAAGGAAUUGACGGGGACCCGCACAAGCGGUGGAUGAUGUGGAUUAAUUCGAUGCAACGCGAAAAACCUUACCUACCCUUGACAUGCCAGGAACUUGCCAGAGAUGGCUUGGUGCCCGAAAGGGAGCCUGGACACAGGUGCUGCAUGGCUGUCGUCAGCUCGUGUCGUGAGAUGUUGGGUUAAGUCCCGCAACGAGCGCAACCCUUGUCGUUAAUUGCUAUCAUUUGGUUGGGCACUUUAACGAGACUGCCGGUGACAACCGGAGGAAGGUGGGGAUGACGUCAAGUCCUCAUGGCCCUUAUGGGUAGGGCUUCACACGUCAUACAAUGGUCGGUACAGAGGGUUGCCAAGCCGUGAGGCGGAGCCAAUCCCAGAAAGCCGAUCGUAGUCCGGAUUGCAGGCUGCAACUCGCCU
rnacentral:rRNA from 1 species